rnacentral:rRNA from 1 species
AAUGAACGUUGGAGGCGUGGAUUAGGCAUGCAAGUCGUGCGGUAAGGCCCCUUCGGGGGUACACGAGCGGCGAAAGGGAGAGUAACGCGUGGACAACCUACCCUCGGGUCCGGGAUAGCCGCGGGAAACUGCGGGUAAUACCGGAUAACAUCCCCGGAUCACAGGUGUCAUUCCGCCUGAGGAGGGGUCCUCGUCCUAUUAGCUAGUUGGUGAGGUAACGGCUCACCAAGGCCACGAUGGGUACGAGUUGUGAGAGCAUGAGCUCCCUCACUGGGACUGAGACACUGCCCAGACACCUACGGGUGGCUGCAGUCGAGAAUCUUCGGCAAUGGACGCAAGCCUGACCGAGCGACGCCGCGUGUGGGAUGAAGGCCUUCGGGUUGUAAGCCGCUGUCAGUUGGGAGGAAAUCCCAUGGGGUUCUCUUCAUGGGUUGACCUAUCUUCAGAGGAAGGACGGGCUAAGUUCGUGCCAGCAGCCGCCGUAACAC